rnacentral:rRNA from 1 species
UACGUAGGGUGCGAGCGUUAAUCGGAAUUACUGGGCGUAAAGCGUGCGCAGGCGGUUUUGUAAGCCAGAUGUGAAAUCCCCGGGCUUAACCUGGGAAUGGCAUUUGGGACUGCAGGGCUAGAGUGUGGCAGAGGAGACUGGAAUUCCUGGUGUAGCAGUGAAAUGCGUAGAUAUCAGGAGGAAUACCGAUGGCGAAGGCAGGUCUCUGGGCUAACACUGACGCUCAUGCACGAAAGCGUGGGGAGCAAACAGG